UAGACACGCUGACCCAUGGGUCUAUUUCACUCCUGGGCUUUUUCAUGCCGUCUAGCUCCCAUGUCAUCCCUCUGAGCCCGCCUCCUGGCAGACACAGGACAGUUGCCAAGCAGAGACACUGAGAGAGAGGUUUAUGUGAUUGGCACCAGGAGUGACCCAUCCCAACAUCCAGCAUCAUCAUCACUGCAUGCGUUUCUCUCCCUUGGGUUUGCAGCUGUAGGAAAAAAGGACCGAGCUUCUGUCCCCGUGAAUGUCUUCGGGGCUGGAGAGAGAGACAAGGGGCUGAUCCUUGCAGAAGAGCAGAGACACCCAGAGUUUUCGGAGGAUGGGAAAAAUCUGGGGAUCACCGGUUGUGCUGCUUCUUGUUUUGAGUGCCCCAGGCAGAGCCGAGAUCCGGCAGCCGGUCUCAGCAGAAGCUUUGGAGGGAGCUGAACUGAACCUCACCUGCUCUCACCCCUCAGCCAGCAGUGAUAAUAUAGCCUGGUACCGGCAGUUUCCAAACCGAGGACCCGAAUUUAUAGUGACUGGAUUCAGGGAAACCGCUCACAGCCCCGACCCAGAGGGAACUUUGCACAUCUCCAAGGAUAAAGAAAACAGCACCUUCGCCCUGCGCAGGGUGCGGCUGGCAGACGCAGCGGUGUAUUACUGUGCUCGGAGAGACACAGUGGGACAGCCAGGGGCGGCCCCCGUACAAUAAAUCCCCUACUCCAGGGCUGGGUGCUAGUGUGUGUCCGUGGGGAGGGAGACAAGAGAGAGGAGAAGGGCAAACUAAGAAGCCAGAAAGGAGGAAGAGAACAUUUAAGCGGGGUGGGUUCCAAAGAAGUCGAGAGACAGACGAAGUUCAGCGGUAUUUGGGCGCCUAACUCCCCCAGGCUCCUUGGGAAAUCCGAAUCUAGGGCCUGCGCCAGAAACAGCUUAAGGCAAAGGACAGACUCAUAUUGACGUCAAUGUAUUUUGGGGGACGCUGGGAGUUUCCCUGUCACAUGGAACCUUCAUUGGUUUAUUCUACCCAGUUAUCUAUUCAUCCUUCCCCAUAUAUACCCAUCCAUCCUGCCCCAUACAUACCCAUCUAUCUAUCCAUCCGCCCCAUACAUACCCAUCUAUCUAGCCAUCCUUCUCAAUAUAUACCCAUCCAUCCUGCCCCAUAUAUACCCAUCCAUCCUGCCCCAUACAUACCCAUCUAUCUAUGCAUCCGUCCCCAUACAUACCCGUCCAUCCUUCUCCAUAUAUACCCAUCUAUCUAUCCAUCCAUCCAUCAUCAUUUUUAUAAUGUCCCCCGGCACCCUGGUAUAUUAGCAACUAAAUCCUGUAGGCAAACCAUGUAAAAUAGCCUCGUCUGUUAAAAUAAGGUACUACCAAUCUCUCC